rnacentral:rRNA from 1 species
AGCACCUUCGGGUGUGAAUUAGCGGCGAACGGGUGAGGAACACGUGAAGAAUCUGCCUUCAACUCUGGGAUAACUCCGGGAAACCGGGGCUAAUACCGGAUAUGAGCCUUGAUCGCAUGAUCGGGGCUGGAAAGUUUUUCGGUUGAAGAUGACUUCGCGGCCUAUCAGCUUGUUGGUGAGGUAAUGGCUCACCAAGGCGACGACGGGUAGCCGGCCUGAGAGGGCGACCGGCCACACUGGGACUGAGACACGGCCCAGACUCCUACGGGAGGCAGCAGUGGGGAAUAUUGGGCAAUGGAGGAAACUCUGACCCAGCGACGCCGCGUGAGGGAUGAAGGCCUUCGGGUUGUAAACCUCUUUCAGUAGGGAAGAAGCGAAAGUGACGGUACCUACAGAAGAAGCACCGGCUAACUAUGUGCCAGCAGCCGCGGUAAUACAUAGGGUGCAAGCGUUGUCCGGAAUUAUUGGGCGUAAAGAGCUCGUAGGUGGUUCGUCACGUCGGAUGUGAAACUCUGG